ACCCGACCCGACUCAUUUUCUCUCCUGCCUCUUCCUCUCUCUCGCGACCUCCCCAACGCCGACGCCUGCCUCAGUGAUCGCCGAUUUUUCCCUUUCCUCUCUCGGUGUCGCCGGUGAGGAGCAGAUUCCGGAGGGUGGUGAAGAAGGGGGUCAACUAUCGACGAACUCUCCUUCUCCCUGGCUUUUCUCUUCCUUUCUAGUCUCGGCAAACCGCGGCGACGGAGCUUCGAUUUGGGGUUUGCGCUUACUGUCGGAAAGGGGCUGAAGGCACCGGCGUUGGAUCUGGCCAGCGUCGACCGAUUGUGUGAGGUUUUGGUUGAGAAUUAGGGUUCUGAUCUCUUCUCUGUGCGUUAGCAAGAACAAGACCGAGCCCUAAUCGGGAUAUUGGAGAGGUGCUGUGGUGAUUUCAGCCAUCA